UACGUAGGGUGCUAGCGUUGUCCGGAUUUAUUGGGCGUAAAGAGCUCGUAGGCGGCCAGUUGCGUCUGCUGUGAAAUCCCGGGGCUCAACCCCGGGCGUGCAGUGGAUACGGGCUGGCUAGAGGCAGGCAGGGGAGAACGGAAUUCCCGGUGUAGCGGUGAAAUGCGCAGAUAUCGGGAGGAACACCGGUGGCGAAGGCGGUUCUCUGGGCCUGUACUGACGCUGAGGAGCGAAAGCGUGGGGAGCGAACAGG
rnacentral:rRNA from 1 species